rnacentral:rRNA from 1 species
UGCCAGACUCCUACGGGAGGCAGCAGUGGGGAAUAUUGCACAAUGGGGGAAACCCUGAUGCAGCGACGCCGCGUGAGUGAAGAAGUAUUUCGGUAUGUAAAGCUCUAUCAGCAGGGAAGAAAAUGACGGUACCUGACUAAGAAGCCCCGGCUAACUACGUGCCAGCAGCCGCGGUAAUACGUAGGGGGCAAGCGUUAUCCGGAUUUACUGGGUGUAAAGGGAGCGUAGACGGCAUGGCAAGUCAGAUGUGAAAGCCCGGGGCUCAACCCCGGGACUGCAUUUGAAACUGUCAGGCUGGAGUGCAGGAGAGGUAAGUGGAAUUCCUAGUGUAGCGGUGAAAUGCGUAGAUAUUAGGAGGAACACCAGUGGCGAAGGCGGCCUGCUGGACGACAACUGACGGUGAGGCGCGAAAGCGUGGGGAGCAAACAGGAUUAGAUACCCCUGUAC